UACGUAGGGUGCAAGCGUUAAUCGGAAUUACUGGGCGUAAAGCGUGCGUAGGCGGUUAUGUAAGACAGAUGGGAAAUGCCCGGGCUUAACCUGGGAACUGCAUUUGUGACUGCAUGGCUAGAGUUUGGCAGAGGGGGGUAGAAUUCCACGUGUAGCAGUGAAAUGCGUAGAUAUGUGGAGGAACACCGAUGGCGAAGGCAGCCCCCUGGGUCAAGACUGACGCUCAUGCACGAAAGCGUGGGGAGCAAACAGG
rnacentral:rRNA from 1 species